rnacentral:lncRNA from 1 species
CGAUCGUAAACUAACAUGAUCUUAAAUGUUAAAGUACCAUGGUCUAAUUCUCGACCUACAACAUCCUUGGCUAUCUGAGAGAACACAUCCUUCACACCAAACCAAACUAUUCGAGAAACCAUUGCUCCAUCACUUAACGGCUAAACGACAAUCUACGAUUUGUCUAAAAACGUCAUGAGACUAUUAAGAGAAUAGUUAUCGAAUAACCCACAGUCGGAAAUCAUAUGAUAAAUUCUUCGUAACGAAACUCAGUCCUAACAACCAAACGGUUAACGGAAAACCAAAACUUGUCGACAAUCGACCAAGUUCGAUACAUUCCACAAUUCACUUUAAGCCUGCUAUAUUUUACCCAUAAUACGCGGCAUGUAAGGAAAAAUUUGUAACAAAGCUUCUAGAGCUAUACGAAACAUCCUCAAAAAUGCACAAAAUAGAUCUCGGAAGGCUAGCACUUCACAAAGCACUAUGAAGGAAAACGCUUCUUCCCAUGGA